rnacentral:tRNA from 2 species
CGGGUGUAGCUCAGUUGGUUAGAGCGCCGGCCUGUCACGCCGGAGGUCGCGGGUUCGAGCCCCGUCACUCGCGCCA